rfam:Cucumis sativus cultivar 9930 chromosome 5, whole genome shotgun sequence.
AGCCGUGCGGUGAGUACAGAGCGAACUAUUCUUUCGCCUUUUACUAAAGAAUACCGUGUGCUCGCCGCUCAUAGCGGCAUACGCCUAUUUUUGGAGGGCCUUACUUCGGGUGAGCCC